CAACCUGCCGAUAACUCGGGGAUAGCCUUUCGAAAGAAAGAUUAAUACCCGAUGGCAUAAUAGAACCGCAUGGUUUGAUUAUUAAAGAAUUUCGGUUAUCGAUGGGGAUGCGUUCCAUUAGGCAGUUGGUGGGGUAACGGCCCACCAAACCUUCGAUGGAUAGGGGUUCUGAGAGGAAGGUCCCCCACAUUGGAACUGAGACACGGUCCAAACUCCUACGGGAGGCAGCAUG
rnacentral:rRNA from 1 species